rnacentral:rRNA from 1 species
CAGCAGCCGCGGUAAUACGUAGGUGCAAGCGUUGUCCGGAAUUAUUGGGCGUAAAGAGCUCGUAGGCGGUCUGUCACGUCGGCUGUGAAAACUCGGGGCUCAACCCCGAGCCUGCAGUCGAUACGGGCAGACUAGAGUGCUGUAGGGGAGACUGGAAUUCCUGGUGUAGCGGUGAAAUGCGCAGAUAUCAGGAGGAACACCGGUGGCGAAGGCGGGUCUCUGGGCAGUAACUGACGCUGAGGAGCGAAAGCGUGGGGAGCAAACAGGAUUAGAUACCCUGGUAGUCCACGCCGUAAACGGUGGGUGCUAGGUGUGAGCGGUAUUCCACGCCGUUCGUGCCGCAGCUAACGCAUUAAGCACCCCGCCUGGGGAGUACGGCCGCAAGGCUAAAACUCAAAGGAAUUGACGGGGGCCCGCACAAGCAGCGGAGCAUGUGGCUUAAUUCGACGCAACGCGAAGAACCUUACCAAGGCUUGACAUACACCGAAAACUCGUAGAGAUACGGGGUCCGCAAGGGCGGUGUACAGGUGGUGCAUGGUUGUCGUCAGCUCGUGUCGUGAGAUGUUGGGUUAAGUCCCGCAACGAGCGCAACCCUCGUUCUAUGUUGCCAGCGCGUCAUGGCGGGGACUCAUAGGAGACUGCCGGGGUCAACUCGGAGGAAGGUGGGGACGACGUCAAAUCAUCAUGCCCCUUAUGUCUUGGGCUGCACACAUGCUACAAUGGCCGGUACAAAGGGCUGCUAAGCCGCGAGGUGGAGCGAAUCCCAAAAAGCCGGUCUCAGUUCGGAUUGGGGUCUGCAACUCGACCCCAUGAAGUCGGAGUUGCUAGUAAUCGCAGAUCAGCAACGCUGCGGUGAAUACGUUCCCGGCCNUGUACACACCGCCCGU